rnacentral:tRNA from 1 species
GCGCCGGUGGUCUAGCCUGGUAGGAUGCCGGCCUCCCAAGCCGGCGAACCCGGGUUCGAAUCCCGGCCGGCGCA